rnacentral:rRNA from 1 species
UACGGGGGGGCAAGCGUUGUUCGGAAUUACUGGGCGUAAAGGGCUCGUAGGCGGCCAACUAAGUCCGACGUGAAAUCCCCAGGCUUAACCUGGGAACUGCGUCGGAUACUGGAUGGCUUGAAUCCGGGAGAGGGAUGCGGAAUUCCAGGUGUAGCGGUGAAAUGCGUAGAUAUCUGGAGGAACACCGGUGGCGAAGGCGGCAUCCUGGACCGGCAUUGACGCUGAGGCGCGACAGCGUGGGGAGCGAACAGG